AAGGAAACAAAGGGAGGAAUUCUCUUCAGUUUAUCACAGUUAUCAACAUCGAUAAGUUGGAGAGAAUCACAAACCAUCACUCCACUUUUACUACAAAUGCUCUUCAAUUCUGGUACUGACUUUAGUAUCAAAAAUCUUAGUUUGGGAAGGUCGAAUUUGAUUAGUGCAUCACUUCCUUUCUCUUCAUCUUCUGCUGCAAAUAUUUCUACUAGCUUCUCACAAUCCGUCACUGUUAUUUCUUCCAGGUUUUGGAGGUUGGGAAGCAACCAAUGUGGAAGCAACGUCAUAAUACUUGGGCAGUCCAAUAUAUGAAUAUUUUUAAGAUUGGAAAAGGUAGCAGACGAAGCUAAUAUUGAUGUUUUUGCUGAACCAUAUCCUUCAACUUUUAUAACUUCACUCAACUUUGGCAGAUCAAUAAGACACAAGCACUGGAGGCUCUGGAAUUGAUGAGUAGAAGAGGAAAAAGAGAAGGAAACAACACAUUCUAUCCCUGCACAGUGCCCAAUUUUGCAUACCCUCAAGUCAACCACAUUUUUUAAGGAAG
rnacentral:lncRNA from 1 species